UUACUUCUCCAUCACCUCAA
rnacentral:snRNA from 1 species